rnacentral:rRNA from 1 species
UAGGGAAUCUUCCGCAAUGGACGAAAGUCUGACGGAGCAACGCCGCGUGAACGAUGAAGGCCUUCGGGUCGUAAAGUUCUGUUGUUAGGGAAGAACAAGUACCAGAGUAACUGCUGGUACCUUGACGGUACCUAACCAGAAAGCCACGGCUAACUACGUGCCAGCAGCCGCGGUAAUACGUAGGUGGCAAGCGUUGUCCGGAAUUAUUGGGCGUAAAGCGCGCGCAGGUGGUUUCUUAAGUCUGAUGUGAAAGCCCACGGCUCAACCGUGGAGGGUCAUUGGAAACUGGGGAACUUGAGUGCAGAAGAGGAAAGUGGAAUUCCACGUGUAGCGGUGAAAUGCGUAGAGAUGUGGAGGAACACCAGUGGCGAAGGCGACUUUCUGGUCUGUAACUGACACUGAGGCGCGAAAGCGUGGGGAGCAAACAGG